rnacentral:hammerhead_ribozyme from 1 species
AUCUAGCUGACGAGUCCUGAAUAAGAUGAAACGCGCGUUUUUCAU